GAUGAAGAACGCAGCGAAAUGCGAUAAGUAAUGUGAAUUGCAGAAUUCAGUGAAUCAUCGAAUCUUUGAACGCACAUUGCGCCUCUUGGUAUUCCGAGGGGCAUGCCUGUUCGAGCGUCAUUAUAACCCCUCAAGCUCAGCUUGGUGUUGGGGCCUGCUGCACUGGCAGCCCUUAAAAUCAGUGGCGGCGCCAUCUGGCUCUAAGCGUAGUAAUUCUUCUCGCUAUGGAGUCCUGGUGGAUGCUUGCCAUCAACCCCCAAUUUUUCUAUGGUUGACCUCGGAUCAGGUAGGGAUACCCGCUGAACUUAAGCAUAUCAAUAAGCGGAGGA
rnacentral:misc_RNA from 1 species